UCGGGACUAAUCCCUCUUGAGAUCGCUUUGCUUGUUUUUCUAAAAUCUGUACCCUUUGGCUGGGGGGAAGGUAUUUUAAUUCUCUGUUCAAAACAACGUAAAGUCACAGCUAUUGUUGUAGGUGUUAUUACAGCGGUUGUUCUGCAGAACUAGUGCGAUGGUGCCCUCUGGUUCCUACGGCCAAGUGAACUUUUGAAAACACACCCAGCGGACUUUCGCGGCCCGUCUCUUUCACUCCCCCCCUCCUUCUCUCCCACAGGCACUCACAAGCUCUACCUACCACGUUAAUUUUGGUGAGGGGUGUGUGUGUGUGUGCGCGCGCGCGUGUGCAACCUCCUCCAAUCGCUUUGCUGGAACCGAAACAUGCCUUACCUCAGAGCAGUCAAUUACCAAAGCUACCCGAGAUCAUCAAUCAUGGGGGAAUGCUUCAAGUUAAGGGGGAGGAGCAAUGGUCAAACUAUUGAUUGCUGCAGUUUUGUACUCUCUCUCCCUCCCUCCCGCUCUCUCGCUCUCUCACUCACUCUCUCUCUCCCCACACAUAAAAUCUAAACCAGACUAUCCUGGUAAUAGUGGGAUUUAUCAAUGAUUAUGAAUCUACUUGUGUAUGUUACGGCCUCGUACAUACUUGGGCGGCGGCGACGGCAAGCCACGCAUUUUAGACUUGGAUUCCGGAGAGAAAAAGAGAGUGGGAACGGGACAAGGGACCGUUCUCAGGAGCAGGUCACGGGAGGAAGAAAGAAAGAAAAAGUUGGGGAGGAAAAGCGAAAUCUGCUAAAGGCACGGGAGGGAGGAACGAGUCUAAAAAACGCAGCCAAUCUUUUCUGGGCUAAGGGAAACCGGCUCCCGAGGUCAACGGAGCUCUCCAAAAUGAUGAAUGAUUGAGUACCUGCGAUGAUGAUAGUGAUUACCGGAGCAAUUAAACAGUUUGAUUAAAUGAGCCAUCAUAACAAUGAUGUCUGCGGGAUAUCAGCCCUCGCUUAUAAAGAAAGAUAGAGGGGAGAGAGAGAGAGAGAGAGAGAGGCUUGAGGAACGCCACCGGGUAACGGCUUCGCUUCCCGGGAGCGCUUAGCCUGGCAAGCUUCGCAGCUUGAGCUCAGCCUCCGAAGCGGCAGGCGAAAGAGCUGGGGAAAAGAACUGGUUAGACUUUUUUUAAGCCUGACUUGCGCGCCCGUUUGAAGCGCCGAAGAGCCACCUUUGGGUAGGGACGGGAGAGAAGAGGGGGGUGUCUGCUUUUACUUGUUCUACCCCCUUCUCUCCUCCCCACUUUUCUUUUCUUCUAGAAGACCUCUUCCAAGAUUAAAGCGAUUCUUAGGAGCAGCCGCUACUCUUCUGUGGCUGGUUCGCCCCGGCUCUGAGCAUAAAGGGGGAAAUCAAAGUGUAUUUUGAACAACCAGACAUUGCAAAGGAUGAUAACAUCUUGACCAUUUGGAUGCCUUUUUAUUAUUUUUAAAAGAUGCUGUCUUUUGUAAAGGUGACUCUUCCAACAGGUAACACGGUCGAUUCUGAAAGUAUAUAUGCAUUUUUAUUUCACAUUUGCUUUUUUUUUUUUUGAAGUGCCCUGUAAAUAGAAAGGGAUUUGAAGAAAGUAGGCUGAGAUGAGAUAUUAAUAAAAAAUCCAAAAGUACUGUUUUUUACUGCUAUUGAUACAGUCUAAUAGAUGCGCUCUGGAACCCUCAAUUUAGAAUUUCUGUGUAAAAGUAUAUGCAACAAAAUCAGGUUCAUUAAAUUCGUCUGGCUUAAAUCCUCUAAGCUGUUUUUACAUUUCUUAGCAGUUCACCACCUCACUAGAAGGACAAAUAACUUCACCCGUAAUCUUGUUUGUAACUUUAUUCAGUGUUUGUUUGCCAAAAUGAAGGGAUUUUUCCCUUUUGCUUUUGGAUUAAGCAAAUAACAUUUGAAGAACUGCCCUAGUUUUUCAUGGGAAUUGUGGCUAUUUUUCAAUAAUUUACUUUGAACUAUGACUAAAAAUAGAACGACAAGAAACAAAGCAGAUCAAAAGCAGGGAUUGUUUAAAGCUUAGGCACUCUUAGUUUUUUCUGAAUUUGGAAAGAAAUUUUGAUAUUUUUCUUUUUCUUUCUCUCCAAAUUCUAGCUCUAAACACUGGUCCAAGAACCUAAGUUGAUAACUAGGGAACGCCCAUGAACAAAACUUAGUCCACUUAUAUUCAAAUUCUUUGCCUUCAGCUGAAAUUCACAUAUAUUUUUUUUCUGGACUACACUGGGCUAUUCAUUAGGCUUGAUGACUCCUUUCAUAUUUCUGCAAAGGAAGAAAUUAAAUUCUGUAAUUAGUUUCUCCUCUCCACCUUCCCCCGCCCCCACCCCCUCAGCACCCUGCAUGCAGACAAUCAAAGAUAUUCUGCUCCGGAAAAUAAGUAUAGAAUAAAAUACUUAAUUUAUGAAGAUAUUAAUAUUUUAUCUGUAUAGUGACUCAGUCCUGUACCUUUUGAAAUGCUACAGGUAGGAAAUACGUCUUUUCCUUUCCUUUGCCUCGCUUUUCUUUCAUUUUCUCACCUUGUGACUUAAUUUACCCCAAUCCUUUCCUUCCCCAAAAGUCAAGCCUUACUCAUCAGUUGAACUCUUACUGACCUCUCUUCCAGCGCUCUGGAGCUCUUUGAAAGCCGGUUUAGGAGAGCUCUCGUUAAAUUACUUCUUAGACCCUCUCUUUCCCUUUCCCUUUUUCUUCCUUCACUUCCUUUUCUGUUUCAAAAUCAACACGAACUCAAGCUUCUUUAUUCACUUACAACCCUCUAUUAUACUUCCCAAACACUUCUAGGAAUUAACAUGGCACUUGUGGAGUGGGCUGCCCUCCUCCUCCUUCCUUUUACUUCUUUAUCUCUCCUGUUUAUUCUAUAAAGAUCCCACUGAACUGGAGGAGCGUUUCAAUAAACAGCCCUCUAGCGCUAUCUGGCGGGACUCCAACCAUUUCAGCAAACUUUCAGCUUUCUCCCCAGCCCUCAAGACGGCCGCUUUCCCCCCCUUCUUCUUUGUACUGGUAAAUGGCUACACAACUGGAAGUCGUUUUCGAAGGUGCUGAUGCUCAGCUUGGUUCCAAACCAAGAGUUCACUACCAGAGAAUGUCAGAAGAUUAAAACAGGCUUUUGCGGCUUUCUUUUCCCUCCCCUCCUCCCUCUCUCCUCCCCUCCUGAAUACUGUCCGUUAUAUCAUCCUCAUCACCACGGCCACCAUCACCAUCAUCAGCCUCUUAUGUGGUUUAAUUUCUAAUGUCCCAAAAUCCAUCCUAGGAUUUUUUUUCCGACACCAAAAAAUGCACUCAUUAAAUACCGUCCCUGUUACCCGUUUAACUUCUAGGCAGUGCCGGACCUUGUGGCAUAAGGUGACCCCCAGCCGUCGCCCUUUUCUCCCCGCUUUGCUUAAAUGCAACCUUCUCCUCGGGUUGAGGGCAAGGGGCAGCCGGGUCUUUUGUAUUCUAGAUUUGGAGGAAGGAAGGAUCCCAGCGCAAUUUCGUUUCCCGAAGUCCGGUCCUUGGAGAGCGGAAAGGAAAAAGGGCUCUUCCUUAAAUGCAUGCAAAAAAGGGGCCCAGGACAAGGCUAGCUCGGCAGAAGGGAUGCUUGAUUCAUUUUUUUUUAAAAAAAGCGGUCCUAGCUCUCCCAGACGGCCCCAAAAAGGAAUAGAAUAAGGGAAUAUAGCUUUGCGUGUUUACUCGCCAGGAAAGUCUGUUCCAGUUCAAUGGGCUUCCCGUUGGAGAAGACCCGCCUAAGCUUGCGCGUAAAAGGAGUUGUGGAUCGUGCCGGAAAAGAACCGGAUCCUAUCUCCUACAGACUCCUUUGGCACCCCUGCCCAGGCCAUCCGCCGAAAGGAAGCCCCAUUUGGGGGGACGAAAUGCCUGAACUGGGCCAGUCAGUUUUAGUUCAGGAAAGGCAAGUUGGCUCCGAAAAGACCCGGGCGGUUUCUGGAGAGAAAAACGAGAGAGAGAGAGAAGAGAGAGAAAUGUACACUUGGUAGCCGGCCCUGUCCAGCUCUUUCUCCCUCCAUCACUCUGGUCGCCUGACUGCACUUUUCAUUUUCUUUUUAAUGAAUCUCCCCCUCGGUGCCCUGCACGGAGAAAGUAAUCCUGGUGAUUUUGUGCUACUUGCAAAAGGGCCUUUUGGUGACGGCCCUGCCGAGGCUAAGCUCUGCCGUAAUUAAUUGAAAACAGUUAUUAGGUCAUCAUUGGCAUAGCGUAAAUAAUUACGAUGGGUUUUUACUUAAAACUGACCGGUCACCUGGAGGGGGAGGGGAAGAGAAGAGAGGGAAGAAUCGAUUGGAGGUAUAAAAAUGAUGAAUCAAAACAUCAAUGCCGAUUAUUUGAAAUAUUGUAGUCGAAUCUUUUUUUAUUACUGCUUCCAUCGGUUUAAGUGUCUGAAAAGUGCAGUGUUCCAACGUAUAUUUAUGUUGUCAAUACUGUCAAAACUGUCAGGUUUAUUACAGCGGGGUUGUAAUACAUUUCGGAGUUCCUCAUUUACAUAAAAUCGCCUACUUUUCUUCGAACUGCCUGCCACAACUUUGCCCUGCUACCCGGGAGAAAAGCGGAGAAACCCUGGCAAAGUCCUCGAAGGAUGCCGGGCUUUUUAUUCCAGCAGAAGUCCCGCUUUCUUUCCCCGCUUGCCCGAUGGAAGACCUCGCCACGCCGGUGGAAAUCCAGGCUGUUGGUCGUCGCUUUCGAGCCCAACCGCUCUAAGCCAAUUUACACCCGCUUGCAGGAGCCUUAAACCGCCGCCUGCGGCACAAAAAGGGCUGCGGCAGGCCAGGCGCGUCGCGCCAGAUUCGGCCACCCGAGUCCCCUGAAUUGCGCAGGGAGAUCCGAACCGCGUUCCAAAACGGCCGAGCGGCAAGCAGCACCUUCGGAUGGCUCUGAGCUCGACGGCUCCGGUGUGCAGAACCAAAGCGCCCAGGGCGCAGCGACGCAUCGUUCAACCAAGUCCCGGAUACCUACGGAGACUCGGAAAGCUCCCUUGGCUCCGCGCAAGGCCGUCUCUAAACGCCCGCAGGCUUUCCGGAGGAUGCGUGUGCCCCAGGCCUCCAAGCUGCCCCGGGCUGACUUUGAGGGCUGAGCGCUUUACAUGCCGAUCUGCGCGGAAAAGCGGCGGGGUCUUCAGCCUAACUGGAGAAGGGAGAGGCGGAGGGGGGUAUUUUUCAUUGAGUUCUUGGGGACUUUGGAUCGCGUUUCUUCGCAGACUUAGCCCGGCGACGCCUCCCCAGACCAAAUGCCAGAAAAUCCGAAGCUAUACUUGACCUCCACCCAGACUGUAGGUCUUAAGUAUUCCCUGAUGAUAUGUGUGUAAUGCGAUGUUUUGUUCUUUUUUCCCCCCUUUCAGGAAUUCGCAAAAAGAAGCUGUGUGGAUUUUAAUUUAUUCCACAGACUCUCUUCCCCGAACAAUCCUUCCUUCCUUCGAAGGAAAUUAAGCAGGUGUUUUAGAAUAAGGGGGGGAAAGGGUUCGGGUUUCCAGGAGGCAAUUGGUUGACUUUGCUCUGUCUUCCCCACGUUCCCACAGAUGAUUCCUCUCUCCUCAGUGGCAUCCAAAAACUCCCCAGAAAUCUCAAAUUGAGAACUGGGCCAAAUGAAGCCCGGAAAAAACCUCCGCUAAGUUUCGGCUGGAAUUUGCUUUAUAGGUGUUCUCCCCACCCCACCCCCUUUUUUUUUGGUUGUUGUUUGGUUAUGUGUGUAUGAGAGAGGAAAAUCAACCCCUGGUAAGUAGGGCAGUGAUAGUCACAAACUCCCUCUUUUCCUCCUUUUAAAACUUUAUGGCACGCUGAAUGGGGAACGGGGAGGCUGGAGAACAAUUCUCCUGUGAAAAUAAACUGAAAAGGGACAGAGGCGACAGGCCGAAUGAAUCAAACGAGGGGCCAUGGAAAAAAACCAGCCGCUCCAAAUUUAUCCCAGGUUCAGUCCUGAUUUUGGAGCAGAGAGGAAAACCCGGUUCCAACUCUCCCUCACCCCCCUCCCCUUAAAAACGCGAAGCAUUUAACAAUUAUCCCUUAAUCGGCUGGCAGGUUGGGUACAAAUGAUGCCAUUAAACAUCAAAGACAUGUUUGGGACUUUAUAUUUUAGCCAUAAGAGGAUUAAUUCUGUAAUUAGAGUGGGGAAAAUAUGUACAUAAAUAAGUAUCGCUCUCCCCAUCUUUUCCUCUUGAUCUUACGGAUUAUUAUCGGCGGGGAUGGGGCCGAUUCUUCAAGUUUCGUCUCUUUAUUUGAUAAAACGAGGAAAGAGGACUUGGGGAUGCCGAGUCUCCCCCACCCUCCUCGCCCAGGAGCCCGCCCGGAGGAGCGGACCUCUUUUCCGAGAAUCCAACAGUGGUGCGGACAGAUGCCAGAAUAAGGCUACUCUCUUCCCGAGGACCGGAGGGAGAGGUUAAUUUGGGAGGGUCAGCUGUGUUUGCCUUUGUUGCUCUUCUCUUCCCCACCACCCUUCUCCCCAAGCUCAAGGCAGAGAUCCAUCCUCCGCCUUCCCGUAAAACCCCGCCUGACCUUCGUUCUAACCUGUAUGAAUACCUCGUUUACCUAAUGACUUUGUGUCAGGCAGGGCAGCAGGUCACUUUCCUUUUUAACCUUUCCCAUUGCUGCAGUAAGCAUUCUGGGCGAUAAUGAAUGGCUCUUGGAAUAAUCGAUGCCCAUUUUAUGAGCCCUGACAACUCAAGAGAUGGACACCUUGUUUCAGGAACGUGGCCUCACCUUCACCAAGAGGCUUCCUCAGGCCGGAUAAGAAACCCUUCUCCCAGCCGAGCAGCUCAGCUGGUUCCUAAACUUCCCUCUGCAGAGGUGUCUUCAGGUAGGGUUAAAAAAAAGUCAGGAUGAUGCCCAGGAUGGUGCGAUGUGCACCAAAUCACGUGGACUUUUUUUGACCCCUCCCUGCAGACAGUCCUGUGGUAGUAAACUUUCCUUGAGUCCAGCCUGACCAACCAGCCAGGUGAUUUCAUGUUGCUCAUUGUUGGCUUGAUGUAAUCCGAAGUUAGUUUGCCAUUUCCUUCCUUCAGGGGGCUUUUUCCAACUUACCACCCUGGCAUUUCCUCUUGGUCUCCCAUCCAAAUACUAACCAGAUUUAACCAUGCUUAGUGCGGCUAAGCAAUUUUGGGCCCAAAGGACAGGAGAUCAACCAAGUGGCCUGUUUUGUUGGUUCAAAUGAACAAAUGAAUCAAGCUAAAUAAGUCCAGGAUGC